UACGGAGGGUGCAAGCGUUAUCCGGAUUUAUUGGGUUUAAAGGGUCCGUAGGCGGACUCGUAAGUCAGUGGUGAAAUCUCACAGCUCAACUGUGAAACUGCCAUUGAUACUGCGGGUCUUGAGUAAGGUAGAAGUGGCUGGAAUAAGUAGUGUAGCGGUGAAAUGCAUAGAUAUUACUUAGAACACCAAUUGCGAAGGCAGGUCACUAUGUCUUAACUGACGCUGAUGGACGAAAGCGUGGGGAGCGAACAGG
rnacentral:rRNA from 1 species